AUUGCCCCUUGAGGCGUUGCAGCUCAACUGAAAGUGUUGCAGCUGUAUCAUGAGGAGGCAGAGAGAAGCUGCUGGUGGUUUGGACCGGGUCUCCAGAACCCGGUGAGGACUCGGAGUCAUUCUCACCAGCAACACU
ensembl:snoRNA